rnacentral:rRNA from 1 species
GACGAACGCUGGCGGCGUGCUUAACACAUGCAAGUCGAACGGAAAGGCCCUGCUUUUGUGGGGUGCUCGAGUGGCGAACGGGGGAGUAACACGUGAGUAACCUGCCCUUGACUUUGGGGUAACUUCAGGAAACUGGGGCUAAUACCGGAUAGGAUCUCCUGCUGCAUGGGGGGGGUUGGAAAGUUUCGGCGGUUGGGGAUGGACUCGCGGCUUAUCAGCUUGUUGGUGUGGUAGUGGCUUACCAAGGCUUUGACGGGUAGCCGGCCUGAGAGGGUGACCGGCCACAUUGGGACUGAGAUACGGCCCAGACUCCAACGGGAGGCAGCAGUGGGGAGUAUUGCACAAUGGGCGGAAGCCUGAUGCAGAAACGCCGCGUGCGGGAUGACGGCCUUCGAGUUGUAAACAGAUUUCGACUGUGACGAAGAGUGAGUGACGGUAAUGGGUCAAGAAGCCACGGCUAACUACGUG